rnacentral:rRNA from 1 species
GACGAACGCUGGCGGCGUGCUUAACACAUGCAAGUCGAGCGGAGAGGCGAACGGGUGAGUAACGCGUGAGUAACUGCCCCCCUCUCUGGGAUAAAAGUUGGAAACGGCUGCUAAUACCGGAAAGUGGGGGAUGACUCGCGUCCUAUCAGCUUGUUGGUGGGGUAGUGGCCUACCAAGGCGACGACGGGUAUCCGGCCUGAGAGGGCGACCGGCCACAGUGGGCUGGGAUAGGGCCCAAGCGCCUACGGGAGGCAGGAGUGGGGAAUAUUGCACAAUGGGGGAAACCCUGAUGCAGCAACGCGCGUGCGGGAUGACGUGCGUCUGGUUGUAAACCGCGUUCAGCCAUGACGCGGUAGUGGCAGAAGAAGCACCGGCUAACUACGUGCCAGCCGCCGCGGUAAUU